AACGAACGCUGGCGGCAUGCCUAACACAUGCAAGUCGAACGAGACCUUCGGGUCUAGUGGCGCACGGGUUCGUAACGCGUGGGAACCUGCCCUUAGGUUCGGAAUAACUCCCCGAAAGGGGUGCUAAUACCGGAUAAUGUCUUCGGACCAAAGAUUUAUCGCCUUUGGAUGGGCCCGCGUUGGAUUAGCUAGUUGGUAGGGUAAAAGCCUACCAAGGCGACGAUCCAUAGCUGGUCUGAGAGGAUGAUCAGCCACACUGGGACUGAGCCACGGCCCAGACUCCUACGGGAGGGAGCAGUGGGGAAUAUUGGAAAAUGGGCGAAAGCAUGAUCCAGCAAUGACGCGUGAGUGAUGAAGGCCUUAGGGUUGUAAAGCUCUUUUAACCGGGAUGAUAAUGACAGUACCGGGAGAAUAAGCCCCGGCUAACUACGUG
rnacentral:rRNA from 1 species